UGCUGAUUUUUUUAACCACAUGCAGGGCAUCAUCAACCACACACGGAAAUAACUAAGGACUGCACGGGUUCUUUUGUGGUACCCUCAAAUGAAUUACAGUCAUUAAUUUCUGUCCAUCCAAUGGCUCAAAAAGAUUCAUACCACAGUCUAAAACUAGAGAGGUAUGUUACAUACCUCAGGAAUUUUUCGCACCACAGAAAGAAAAACGUAGACGGACCUGGCCCAAUAAACGAGCCCAGCCCAAUAGACUGGUCCAGCAGCCUCAGAUCUUGUGGUCGCAGGUCGCAGCGUGUAAGGCUCAUUCUCUGCGGAGGUCCUGCCUCCGCCGCCGCCGCUGUCUCUCCAUCCACAACUCCGGCGCCACCGUCCCCUUGCCCCAAAUCUUCCGCAACACCAGAAGCUCAUCCUCGACACGCAUCCGCCCCUCGCAUUCCCGACUACGUCGCGGACGUCUCCUCGCGUCACCACACCGGCAUGUCGUCGCCCUUGUCGGUCUUCUCCACUCGCGCGUCAGCGGCGCUGACCCUGCUUCUCGGCGGCGUCCACUCACCCCCAUCUGCCGUCUUCCCAAUACUAUCUCGGCGGCGGCAGCCUUAGCCCUUGGCCUACGCGUGGAUCACUCAUCACUGGAUCCAAAAUCGGGGGCGCCGUCCUCGUCGCUCGCCAAGGUGGCCAAGCACACCACGCGGUUCCGGGAGCGCUGCCUGGCUGUCGUCUCGGCAGUGCUGCAGGAGGUGGUAGGAGGCCGACGAACUCCUUUCAUUCGAGGUCAAAUGGAAGGAGUCGAUGGUAAGCGUUGCCGGCGCUUGUUUCGGUGGUCGCAGGCGCGUCUCCUUCUCCUCGUCUCUGUCUUCGGUCCUUCCGUGUUCUCCUCUGCAUGCUGCUCCAUAUAAGAGCAUUUGUGGUACCAGUUUUCCAUUAGCACCCAAAUCAUACACAUGAAGCAGCUUGUCAGCGUGGAUCCAAAUGGCAUAAUUGCACUAGUUCUAGAGUUUCAGGUCUCCCAAAGUUUCCUAUAGGUUGUAUCUGUUGGGUUACUUGACAUUUUGAGAUCAAGGAUGAGAUAUGAUUAGGCUGCAAGUUAGACUUACACUUUGCCCCCAAAACAAUUGCUUAGGUUUUUGAGGAAUGAGAUCAGAUUGCAUAUUGUGCAAGUAUGUGUAUGCAAUUGUGGGUGUGCGUGUGUGACUGUAUGUGCAGGGCUGAUCACUUCUGCUGCAUUUAGUGUAACAUAUCCACUCAAACCUCAGUCCUAAAAAUUGAAGUACCUAGUGUAAGAGUCACCCAAGCUUGUCUACUUUAUAUGAGCAUUGCUAGGAGUUUUAUUUAUGUUUAUAUUUUGUUAGAACUAUUAACAUUAGCUGAGUUAAGGUGCAAGAUCUUGUCAUUUAAACUCUGUUGGCAUUACGUUGCUAGCAUGUAUAAGAUGGUACUUUCUUUAUUUUUUUAUGUACUAUUUUAUAAAAUAUUUAUCAAUUUGUUUAAAAAGUGGAAUAAAACAUGUAAGUGUUGAUUUGCGGUAAAACAGUUGUUUUGCUUGAAUGUUUGUGUCUGUAAUCACAUUUCUCUUCCUUAUUCUGCGGUGGAGAUGAAUCGUAAAUUUUUUGUUCUGGAUUUUCAAUUGGUUCUGUGUGACAGUCCGAUCAAAUUAAGAAGUCACAUAACAUAAUUUUAUAGUAUUACCAGUUGGUUCUGUGGAUUGAACUAAGUAUAAUGGUUAUAAUGAUAUGAAUUUUGUGCCACUUCACAUGUUGUCUUGAAGCUUAUGUGAGUGGUGUCUUAGAUCAUAAACAAGUUUCUUGCUCCUUAGUGCUACCUAGUGUAGUUCUGUCUGUUACAUGUUCCUUAUCUCUAUCUUAAUUGUAGUUUGAAAUUUGACUUUCCUUGUAGUUUAAAUAUUUGUGUACUUUACAUAUACUACCAGUCAUUGUCAAUUUCUCCCAGGUAUAUCUCCAACAUUUCUAUUUAGUCAUCUCUGACUACUAUAGGCUUACGGUUACUUAGGAUUGCUUCUUCAGUUCAACUAUGGUUGUUAUCAAGUGCACUAUAACAGUUGUGCUACUAAUAAUACUCCUUUAACUCCUUUGAUAGGAUAAAUCUUGGCGUGUCCGCUAUAUGGUUGCCAAUUAAUUAUAUCAGCUUUGCAAGGCUGUUGGCCCAGAGCCUACAAGAGCGGACCUGGUGCCUGCAUAUGUUUGCCUGCUUCGUGAUAAUGAGGGUGAAGUGUGGAAAGUCACGAAGUUCUGUAGGAUAUUAAGUCCAGAACUUGCAAUUGCGCACAUUCUUCCAUGUGUUAAGUUGGGAGGACAGGGCAGUUACUGAACAUCAUUUGUAUUCUGCUGCUGUUAUUGUCUAUAGGCUAACUUGUGCCAAUUAUAUUUGCAGGACUUAUCAUCGGAUUUGUCUCAGCAUUUCCUUGGUUAAGCUAUAAGACUUGGAAACCAACGUCAUUGUUCUUUUUCACGGAGGUGGGUUUGUUGCUUGGUGCUCAUACAAGACCAUGCCACUUGUUGAAGAUAGUAUGUUCAAAGUCAAUGCAAUGGUGCUGAUGUACUGGAAGAUUGGAGUUUCACACUAAGCUGAGCAUCGAGGGCCUCCCAGAGGAGCCGCAUGCCGUAAACCUUGCUGCCGACGACUCACCUCUAGUUGUGACGGUCACUGCGUCCAAGCUUUAUUUAUUAUUAUGGUGGCACAUUAACUUAUUUAGCAUGAAACAAUUAUUAAUUUAUCAUCACAGAUGUACUCAAAGUUGGAGAUCUUGAUUCAAUUACUAUUUCUGUGUACAUGGCAUGACAUA